GCGUUCAUAGCUCAGCUGGAUAGAGCAUUUGAUUGCGGUUCAAAAGGCCAGAGGUUCGAAUCCUCUUGAGCGCACCA
rnacentral:tRNA from 1 species